UACGUAGGUGGCAAGCGUUGUCCGGAUUUAUUGGGCGUAAAGCGAGCGCAGGCGGUUUCUUAAGUCUGAUGUGAAAGCCCCCGGCUCAACCGGGGAGGGUCAUUGGAAACUGGGAGACUUGAGUGCAGAAGAGGAGAGUGGAAUUCCAUGUGUAGCGGUGAAAUGCGUAGAUAUAUGGAGGAACACCAGUGGCGAAGGCGACUCUCUGGUCUGUAACUGACGCUGAGGCUCGAAAGCGUGGGGAGCAAACAGG
rnacentral:rRNA from 1 species